rnacentral:tRNA from 1 species
AGCUCAGUUGGUAGAGCAGAGGACUGAAAAUCCUCGUGUCGCUGGUUCGAUUCCAGCAGGAACCACCA